CCGUGUCACGAGACCCAGCCUGUAUCCUGUGACUGCUUCGUCUAUCAUGUGAUCAUACGACGAAUUCCCCCCCCCUUCGUGGAAUUCGUUUGAUUGCAUUUUUCUUCUUGUAGUUGAGUUUCAGCGUUAGGCGCGGGGUGAUUUUAUUUUUUUAAGAAAAAAAUCAUUUCUCGUGUCAUUUUAUAUAAUUUCUUAUAUAAUUUUUCAUAUAUAGGUUGUUUCCCAUGCUUCCGCCGAAGAACCUGGCCCCUUCCAUAGGCCAUCGGAGUAGUUGCAGGGAUCUUGCUUCGCUCUCUCUCCGUCCUAGAACGAACUUUGCGUUUUAGAUUGGGUAUGGAGCCACUGUCUUGUUGAAACUAAGCAUGUCUGGGUCUCGUCAAUGUCUGGAUGAGAGACCACCUGGGAACCACAGAGAAUGCCUCUUCUCCCAAACAUUUUAGCAUGUGUUUUUAAAUUGUUUUUUUAAAAAUGUGUUUAAAUUUGUAUAUUUGUUUUUAAUUGCUGUAAACCACCCAGAGAGCUUCGGGUAUGGGGCAGUAUAUAAAUGUAUGUAUGUAUGUAUGUAUGUCACCCUUAGAUCAACCACUGAAAGAAAGGUGGGAUAUAAAUUUAAGUAAGUAAAUAAAUAAAUGUAAGCAUGAAGGAAGGGGAUCAUCUUUAUUUAUUGUGAACAGUGCUGGAUGCCUUUGCCAACAGAAUGGUACAGUAAAAAUACUUUAAAAAAAUAAAA